rnacentral:rRNA from 1 species
CCUUGCCAGCCCGCUCAGAACUCAAGGAAUUGACGGGGCCGCACAAGCGGUGGAGUAUGUGGUUUAAUUCGAUGCAACGCGAAGAACCUUACCUGGUCUUGACAUCCCGGAGACCCUUAGGAAACUAGGGGGUGCUUCCAUCUGGAAGAAUCUGGAGACAGGUGCUGCAUGGCUGUCGUCAGCUCGUGUCGUGAGAUGUUGGGUUAAGUCCCGCAACGAGCGCAACCCUUGCCUUUAGUUGCCAGCAGUUCGGCUGGGCACUCUAAAGGGACUGCCGGUGUUAAACCGGAGGAAGGUGGGGAUGACGUCAAGUCCUCAUGGCCUUUAUGACCAGGGCUACACACGUACUACAAUGGCCGAUACAAAGGGCAGCGACACUGCGAGGUGAAGCCAAUCCCGUAAAAUCGGUCUCAGUCCGGAUUGGAGUCUGCAACUCGACUCCAUGAAGUUGGAAUCGCUAGUAAUCGUGGAUCAGCAUGCCACGGUGAAUACGUUCCCGGGCCUU